rnacentral:lncRNA from 1 species
GCAGAGCUGGGCACUGUUACCUGUGGAAGUUUGCAUGCACAAAUGAGCAGAACGGUUUUGGACAGUGACAUACAUAGUCAUUCUGGAAGCAAUGCAGAUGGUUCAAGGUGGACAAAAUGCAUCACCAGAGCACACUUUUGGCAGCAAAAUAAUCAUCACAAUGUCCUCAUAUGGCGUUCGGUUGCCGGAGCGGAAGUUGAAUCCAAUUUUGACGAGUGUUUGUUUGAAGAGUGCAGUGAAGGACUAAUAAAUGCUGUGGUGAAGAAUCUGCAACGUGACCCGACCUUCGAGAACUUUAAUAUGUGA